GCCCGGGUGGCGGAAUGGCAGACGCGGUCGACUCAAAAUCGACUGUCCUCGUGACGUGCGGGUUCGAAUCCCGCCCCGGGCA
rnacentral:tRNA from 1 species